UACGGGGGGAGCAAGCGUUGUUCGGAUUUACUGGGCGUAAAGGGCGCGUAGGCGGCUUUGUAAGUCGGGGGUGAAAGCCUGUGGCUCAACCACAGAAUUGCCUUCGAUACUGCAUGGCUUGAGACCGGAAGAGGUAAGUGGAACUGCGAGUGUAGAGGUGAAAUUCGUAGAUAUUCGCAAGAACACCAGUGGCGAAGGCGGCUUACUGGUCCGGUUCUGACGCUGAGGCGCGAAAGCGUGGGGAGCAAACAGG
rnacentral:rRNA from 1 species